UUGACUCUUCUCAGACAGGGAAGGGCACUGAGCUGAGACUCACACACAUUGGACUAAGGAAGGAAAAGGAACGCGCCAGCGGUUUUGAAAGCAGUUGAGCAUUUUAUAGGAAGCCAAACCUGAACUCUGGAACUGCUUCAAAUAAAAUUUGAAGAGGAAAAAUGGAGGAGAAACACUCAAAGAUCAUUCGAGGUCAACUUUUAUCAUGGCUGCUGUUCUCUUCACACAGUAGCUGGUUUAAAACGCUGCUCUGUUUGAGAGCUUUUAGACUGGAUAUAUCUUCACUUACAACAGGGACAUCUUCACUUUGAUCCUCAGGUUCUUCCUGCCUUUGAAAGCAAACCAGAGCCAACUAACCAGUACUGAAAUAGCGCUUCUGAAUUCGUGCCUUUCAUGUCUGUGAGGUGCUCACAAAGAUCACAGCGGAUGGUCUCAUCUCCAAUAAGGGAAGGUGGCAAAUAAAAAAGGUCACUCUUUCAUUUAUUUUAUUCCAAUAACCUCCCUAAUAAAUAUAUGUAAUAAAAUCCUUAGUAACAAUUGUUA